UGGCUCAGUUGGUAGAGCAUGGUGUGUGCAACGCCAGGGGUGUGGGUUCGAUUCCCAC
rnacentral:tRNA from 1 species